AGAGUGUGAGCUACUCUCUACAUUUUCUACAACUCUUUGAUUUGAUUUUUGAUUUUUGUUUUUUCAUUUUCCAAAUAAAUACUCUGCAUGAAAUUGACCAGUGUGAAACAAGUGGAUCACAUAAAAGAAGAAUUACCUCCUGAAAAGACUGCACAGGGACAUGUAUGAACAGACCUCUUCAAGUGGAGUCAAAGACACAUUCAAACCCUUGAGAAGACUCCAACAAGACACCUGUGCCAACAUGUGAUCACCUGAAAUGAACCUGGCCAGCUGCCAGCUGAAAAUGG